rnacentral:rRNA from 1 species
AACGAACGCUGGCGGCAUGCCUAACACAUGCCAGUCGAACGAGACCUUCGGGUCUAGUGGCGCACGGGUGCGUAACGCGUGGGAACCUGCCCUUAGGUUCGGAAUAACUCCCCGAAAGGGGUGCUAAUACCGGAUAAUGUCUUCGGACCAAAGAUUUAUCGCCUUUGGAUGGGCCCGCGUUGGAUUAGCUAGUUGGUAGGGUAAAAGCCUACCAAGGCGACGAUCCAUAGCUGGUCUGAGAGGAUGAUCAGCAACACUGGGACUGAGACACGGCCCAGACUCCUACGGGAGGCAGCAGUGGGGAAUAUUGGACAAUGGGCGAAAGCCUGAUCCAGCAAUGCCGCGUGAGUGAUGAAGGCCUUAGGGUUGUAAAGCUCUUUUACCUGGGAUGAUAAUGACAGUACCGGGAGAAUAAGCUCCGGCUAACUCCGUG